rnacentral:rRNA from 1 species
AUGCAGUCGUGCGGUAGUCACACAGGGAGCUUGCUCCCCGGGUGACGAGCGGCGGACGGGUGAGUAAUGUCUGGGAAACUGCCUGAUGGAGGGGGAUAACUACUGGAAACGGUAGCUAAUACCGCAUAACGUCGCAAGACCAAAGAGGGGGACCUUCGGGCCUCUUGCCAUCAGAUGUGCCCAGAUGGGAUUAGCUAGUAGGUGGGGUAAUGGCUCACCUAGGCGACGAUCCCUAGCUGGUCUGAGAGGAUGACCAGCCACACUGGAACUGAGACACGGUCCAGACUCCUACGGGAGGCAGCAGUGGGGAAUAUUGCACAAUGGGCGCAAGCCUGAUGCAGCCAUGCCGCGUGUGUGAAGAAGGCCUUCGGGUUGUAAAGCACUUUCAGCGAGGAGGAAGGUGGUGAACUUAAUACGUUCAUCAAUUGACGUUACUCGCAGAAGAAGCACCGGCUAACUCCGUGCCAGCAGCCGCGGUAAUACGGAGGGUGCAAGCGUUAAUCGGAAUUACUGGGCGUAAAGCGCACGCAGGCGGUUUGUUAAGUCAGAUGUGAAAUCCCCGGGCUCAACCUGGGAACUGCAUUUGAAACUGGCAAGCUAGAGUCUCGUAGAGGGGGGUAGAAUUCCAGGUGUAGCGGUGAAAUGCGUAGAGAUCUGGAGGAAUACCGGUGGCGAAGGCGGCCCCCUGGACGAAGACUGACGCUCAGGUGCAAAAGCGUGGGGAGCAAACAGGAUUACAUACCCUGGUAGUCCACGCUGUAAACGAUGUCGAUUUGGAGGUUGUGCCCUUAAGGCGUGGCCUCCGGAACUAACGCGUUAAAUCACACCGCCUGGGGGAGUACUCGCGGCUAGGGGUCAAGGUCAUAUUGAAUUUGACAGGGGGCCCCCACAAUCGGGUGGAGCAUGUGGCUUAAUUUCUUUGCAAUCACGGGGGAGCCUUCCCUACUU